UGUGUGACCGUGCUCGACUCGCCCGUGCUGGACUGGGCGAGCGGCGCCGCCGUAAGCAUCUUCUCCGGCAGUGGUUUCUUCUCCGCGGUGGUGGAGCGCAUUUCUCGGCAGCGGCAGAGCUAUUGCGAGAAUCGGGCUCCAUUGGAUCCGGGGGUUGUUUCUUCUCCGCGGCCCGGUGGUGGAGCGCCUAUCCCUGCAGCGGCUAUUGCGAGAGAUGGAGCGAGGGCUAGAUGAGAUGGAGCGAGGAGACGGGCUGCCCCGAGGAGACAGUGCUUCAAAUCG